AAACUGAAGUUACUGAUGGAGCCAGUGAAGAUGCUGUGGACCGCCAAAGUGAUGAUGUGGUUGUAGCCACAACACCCGAUCACCACAACCAGACACAACAAUCAAUCCAGACACAACAAUCUGCCCAUACUUCAGCUAGUGGUGGUGCAAGUGAAGAUGCUGUGGCUACUACCCCAGCACCUAAUC